GGAAUGACGGGGACCGCACAAGCAGCGGAGCAUGUGUUUAAUUCGACGCACGCGAAAGAACCUUACCUGGGCUUGACAUGUUCCUGACCGCCUGGGAAACAGGGUUUCCCUUCGGGGCGGGAUCACAGGUGGUGCAUGGCUGUCGUCAGCUCGUGUCGUGAGAUGUUGGGUUAAGUCCCGCAACGAGCGCAACCCCCGUCGCAUGUUGCCAGCAUUUAGUUGGGGACUCAUGCGAGACUGCCGGUGACAAACCGGAGGAAGGUGGGGAUGACGUCAAGUCAUCAUGCCCCUUAUGUCCAGGGCUACACACGUGCUACAUUGGCCGGUACAGAGGGCUGCGAUACCGCGAGGUGGAGCGAAUCUCUCAAAGCCGGUCUCGGUUCGGAUUGCAGGCUGAAACUCGCCUGCAUGAAGGCGGAGUUGCUAGUAAUCGCGGAUCAGCAAUGCCGCGGUGAAUACGUUCCCGGGUCUUGUACACACCGCCCGUCACACCACGGAAGUGGGCAACACCCGAAGCCGGUGGCCUAACCCUUUUGGGAGGGAGCCGUCGAAGGUGGGGCCCGUGACUGGGGUGAAGUCGUAACAAGGUAGCCGUACCGGAAGGUGCGGCUG
rnacentral:rRNA from 1 species